GAGAGGUGUGAUGAGCUUAUCCACCUAUUCUGCAUUUGAAUGAUGAUUAACAAACAUGCACUACCAUCUGAUCUCUC